AUUGAACGCUGGCGGCAGGCCUAACACAUGCAAGUCGAGCGGAUGAAGGGAGCUUGCUCCUGGAUUCAGCGGCGGACGGGUGAGUAAUGCCUAGGAAUCUGCCUGGUAGUGGGGGAUAACGUCCGGAAACGGGCGCUAAUACCGCAUACGUCCUGAGGGAGAAAGUGGGGGAUCUUCGGACCUCACGCUAUCAGAUGAGCGUAGGUCGGAUUAGCUAGUUGGUGGGGUAAAGGCCUACCAAGGCGACGAUCCGUAACUGGUCUGAGAGGAUGAUCAGUCACACUGGAACUGAGACACGGUCCAGACUCCUACGGGAGGCAGCAGUGGGGAAUAUUGGACAAUGGGCGAAAGCCUGAUCCAGCCAUGCCGCGUGUGUGAAGAAGGUCUUCGGAUUGUAAAGCACUUUAAGUUGGGAGGAAGGGCAGUAAGUUAAUACCUUGCUGUUUUGACGUUACCAACAGAAUAAGCACCGGCUAACUUCGUG
rnacentral:rRNA from 1 species